rnacentral:misc_RNA from 2 species
AACGCACAUUGCGCCCGUCAGUAUUCUGGCGGGCAUGCCUGUUCGAGCGUCAUUACGCCCCUCAAGUCCCCUGUGGACUUGGUGUUGGGGAUCGGCGAGGCUGGUUUUCCAGCACAGCCGUCCCUUAAAUUAAUUGGCGGUCUCGCCGUGGCCCUCCUCUGCGCAGUAGUAAAACACUCGCAACAGGAGCCCGGCGCGGUCCACUGCCGUAAAACCCCCCAACUUUUUAUAGUUGACCUCGAAUCAGGUAGGACUACCCGCUGAACUUAA